ACUAUUUGCAUAUGGUUUAGCUAGUUUUCAUAGUAUUGUCCUUAAAAUUUUAAUUCACUUAACCAAGUGUCGUUAGCUCAAUUGGUAAAGAUUCUAGGCGAACCUUAGAGGUCGUCGGUUUGAGUGACGCUUGGGACGAAACUAAUAUUACAUGAUAUGGUUUCGGGCCUGAAAGAUUAUGGGUUUCGAUCCAGAUCCUCCUAGAUUUUUUUUU
rnacentral:sRNA from 1 species